rnacentral:lncRNA from 1 species
UAAAUGAAUGAUGAACAGGAAUAGGAACUAGAGAGGGAAGAGAACAGUUAUUAGGAUAGUUAAUUAGUGCGGAGAAAUGUGUAUAUUUUGAGGAUAGAAGCAUAUGUAUAUAAUUUAUAAGAUUAAGGCAGUUUGUAAAAUGAUGUAGAACAUAUAUAUGUGUGUGUGUGUGUGUGUGUGUGUGUGUGUGUGUGUGUGUGUGUGUGUGUGUUAAGAAUAAAUUAAUUAUUAGCAAGGAAGAAUUGGACAGAACAAA